rnacentral:lncRNA from 1 species
GCCUGUGUCCUCAUCAUUUGUUUCUAAAAUUGCAGAGGACUGGUCUUGGGCCUAUUGGACCUUGUUGUUCACGAAGACCCUCUCACUCCCAAUAUCAACAGAGAGGCCUUUUUCUGACAAGAGGAAUGGCAGAAUGCCAGGAAAGGUAAUUGCAAGCUGCUUUUAA